AUGCAAGUCGAGCGAGAAAGUACCCUUCGGGGUGCGAGUACAGCGGCGAACGGGUGAGUAACACGUAAGCAAUCUGCCCCUAAAUCUGGGAUAACUCUGCCAACGCGGGGCUAAUACCGGAUGUGGUCACGACAUCGCAUGGUGUUGUGAUUAAAGAUGGCUUCGGCUAUCGUUUAGGGAUGAGCUUGCGGCCCAUUAGCUUGUUGGUGAGGUAACGGCUCACCAAGGCGACGAUGGGUAGCCGACCUGAGAGGGUGAUCGGCCACAUUGGGACUGAGAUACGGCCCAGACUCCUACGGGAGGCAGCAGUAGGGAAUUUUGCGCAAUGGACGAAAGUCUGACGCAGCGACGCCGCGUGAGGGAUGACGGCCUUCGGGUUGUAAACCUCUGUUGAGUGGGACGAAAACUCGCAGGGUUAAUACCCCUGCGACCUGACGGUACCACUCGAGGAAGCUCCGGCUAACUACGUGCCAGCAGCCGCGGUAAUACGUAGGGAGCAAGCGUUGUUCGGAAUCACUGGGCGUAAAGGGAGUGUAGGCGGGAAAGUAAGUUAGGAGUGAAAUACACAGGCUUAACCUGUGGCCCGCUCUUAAUACUGCUUUUCUUGAGUAUGGGAGAGGAAGAUGGAAUUCCAGGUGUAGCGGUGGAAUGCGUAGAUAUCUGGAAGAACACCAGUAGCGAAGGCGGUCUUCUGGCCCAAUACUGACGCUGAGGCUCGAAAGCUAGGGGAGCAAACAGGAUUAGAUACCCUGGUAGUCCUAGCCGUAAACGAUGGACACUAGUUGUCGGGGGAGUCAAUCCCUUCGGUGACGAAGCUAACGCAUUAAGUGUCCCGCAUGGGGAGUACGCUCGCAAGGGUGAAACUCAAAGGAAUUGACGGGGGCC
rnacentral:rRNA from 1 species